UGAAGAUAUAAAAUAAUUAAUGAAAAUUAUGAAUAUACCUAGAUACAAGUUUUAUUGAUGAUAACCUCGACCAAAAUGUGUAAAAUCCUCAUUCAAUAGUAUACACUUAAGUUCAAAGAUAAGAGGGAUGGUAUAUUCAAACAAAUUAGAGAAUAGAGUUGCUAUUCUGUUCAGACCAUGAGUGAGACAAGUGACAUGCAUCGUGACUGUGAAAUCUUGCUUAAGGUUUUUGAUUGUUUUUAUGUAAUAAUCUGCACCAUCGAUAAUGAAAACUUUUAUUCUCUAAACAAAUAAUCGGAGUUAAAAAACGCCUUUAAGAUUUUUAACUUCAAUACUUGUAAUUGUUCUAUUGCUAGCCUUCUUAAUAUAUUACCAAUUUGUUAAAUAAGAUCAACUUAUUAACACUGCAAUCGUGAUCGUAGUUUCGUAUAGGACAAGAAGAUUAUCAUAUUCUUUCUCAACCUUUGACAACACAACAUUACUUUGGGACUCCAUUGACUUUAAGAUGGUAUAGCAAGAAGGAAUGGCUAUGACAUGAAGCUCCAUGAAUUUGACUAGAUUUGAAUGACCUAUCAAUAUGGAGUGAGACAUUGCAGGAGACAUGCAUCUUGCUCAUUUACGAUAUAAAAUUAAUAUUUACAAAAUAUAACAAACAUAUGAUGUAAUAUAAUUGUUAAAUUUAUUUGAUCUUGUUACAUGCAUAAAUUUCAUUUAAAACAAGUUAGAAUUAUUCAUAAGAUAAAUAAGUGUUAUUGGUAUUGUAGGCGCAAUAACACUUAAA
rnacentral:lncRNA from 1 species